AUUUUGAUCACAACUGAAGCUAACAUAAUUACUUCAUUGUGCCACUGCCCCUUUAAGGCCUGAAUGCUUCAUGAAUAACUUUACUGGGGGAAAUUCUGAGAAAAUUGCAGAAAUGAUGAUAAUUUUCCUUAAAUGGCGUCAGGAGAAGCGGCUCUUUGCCCUCCUGCAUGUGGAGACAGUAAACAGCCUGGGUGAUUCCAGCUGGAUGCUCUCCUGGUGAUGAGUGAUAACAGGCUGCAGAUCAUGUUUCAUUUUCUGUUGGUUUUGGUUAAUCAGCAGGAAAUCAGUUGAUUCAUAAUGGAUCUAAUUAUUGCUUAAUGGCUUCAUGUUCGAGCAGAUUCCUCCGGAGAAAUCACCGCUUCUACUUUUAGAGCAGUUUAUUAGAAAAGUGAUGAAAACCUGUUUGUCUGUGGUUAUGAUUUAUGGUUUCAUUGGAGUUUCUGCAGGUUGUGGAGGAGGAUGAAACCUCACCAGGAUUCUGGAGACGUUUUUAGAUCAGAUGACGUUUGUUCAGAAGUUGGAGACGUUUCUUUACCUCCAUCAGACGAAACUCCCACUGAGAGCCAGACGAUCGAUAAUCUGAAUAUAUUCUGAGUUUCACUUCCUACUGCUGCUGUGGGGGUAGAGAACACACACACACACACACAUCAGAUAUGUUGCUGCAGGCGGAUCUUUCCUCUGGUGAGGCCUUAAAGCGUUUCCUGUGCAGUUGACAUGGAAACAGAACCCAGAACAUCAGGAACCAGAGAGGAAGCUCAGCGCUAAUCUGUAUCUGUUCAUGUUCUGCUCCAGCAGCAUGGAGACAUCCAGGAGAAUCACUUCCUGCUGCAGCAGCAUGGAGACAUCCAGGAGAAUCACUUCCUGCUGCAGCAGCAUGGAGACAUCCAGGAGACUCACUUCCUGCUGCAGCAUGUUAGCUAGUUAGCUUCUGCUAGUUUUUAAUCUGUUUAGCAGUUUAAAAUUCACUGCUGCUAAGUGUUUUUAAAGUGUCUAGCUUUAUCUUCCACUAAUUUUUAAGAUGUGUUUAGUGGUUUAGCGUUAGCAGAACUUAAGAUUUCUGGUUUGUGGACCAGUGGUUAUCAAAGCUAACCUUUUAGCUAGCUGUGCUCACCACAGCUAAAAACUACUGUGAUUUUAAUGCUGGUGGAUCAAAACCUUCUGCUGCAGCUGGGUUUCUCCAGUUGUUGCUCAGGAGAUCCCUGGCUUGUAGAACAGCGCAAACAUGACAGGAAUGGACUCCUCGUCUUCCUCAUCUCCCUCGCUGUGUCCCUCCGGGUUUCCUCUCAGCCUUCAAGCGGCACAGCGCUGCAGACUGGAAGAGAUUCAGAGGUUUUCUAAGGCUGGUUGGACGCCUGAUGGGAGGAAUGAUCUGAGCAGGUAAGAGAGGAGGAGAGGAAGAGGUAAAGAGAGUGUAUAUUUGUUUCUAUAAAACACCUGACCGGUUUAAGAAAAGUGUUAAUCCACAAAAACCUGCUGAAUUUUGCCACUGAUUGUUGUUAUAAACAUGCCUAACCCAUAGGGGGCAGUGUAGAGACAGCUAAAACCUGUCAGCCAAUCAGAACCCUUCAACACAACCAGCACUUCCUGUUAGGAAUUAAAAAUGGCUCCAGGAGAUUCAUUAGUGUGUCAGACAGAGAGGCUGGCUACGUUUAAAUACCAUGUUGACGCCAGCAUGCGGACGCCGAUUGAGCCGCCAUCUUGGGGAGGGAAAGCUGGAGUGAAACAGCUGAUCUUUGUCCUUUGUAACUUGAUGAACGAGUAAAAAGUGUCUGAAGAAACGUAAAAACCAGCAGCUGAUGAUGGCGGCCAUCUUUCCUCCACUGCUGGAAAACGGCAACAAUGUGACGUCGGCGCCGCAUCAUUUACUGCAGCCUGAGAAGCGUUUAGCUCUAAAUCUCUGGUUCCUAAGGUCCAAACGGUGCAGAGGAGAAUUCAGCGGAGGUUUUAUUAAAGGCCUGAUGGGUCCAUCAGAGCCGGCUGCGGGGAUAAGCUCCGCCCACAUGGAGGUGAUUUCAGGUGACUCAGUUUCUAACCUUCAGGCUGAGCGUCCAAACCAGGAACCAGAAACGAGGAUUUCUGAAACAUUUCAGAACGUUGGUUCCUGGUUCAUCUUUUUUAAAUCCAUGACACUGAAGCUCCGUUUCAUCAACACCUGAUUUUUGAUUAGAAGUGAUGAAUUAAUCCCAGAUUAUUUAAUUAACUGGAUUAAUCCAAAUAAAACAUAAUAACAUGCAAAUUCAACCAUGAAUGAAUGUAAACACAUGAAAAACUGCCGGGCGGGAGCAGCUGGUGGAGGUCCGGGUCCGGUUGGUUCUGUUUGUGCUGGCGGACCCAGAGUCGCCCCCCAUGUAAUGAUCCUGUGUCGGGUCCAGAACCCGUCAGAUCCAAUUAGGCGCCUGGCAUCAGACACAGCUGGAGAGGAGCAACACGAUGGCCUGGGGUGAUGAUGAUGAUGGUGGUGGAAAUGAAGGUGAUGGUGGUCGCCGUGGCAGCAGCGGUUCGGUCGUGUAAUUUGAUUUGGAUUUAGUGUCGCUUGGAGGAAUGACACAAAUUCAGCCGGGAUUAAUCCGGCUUUAAUUCAAUCUGUCCUCUGCAGCCCAAAAUAACUCGGCCCGGUUCUGAUCCGUCUGGUUUGAGUCCAGGACACGGCCCGGUUCUGAUCCAUGUGGGUCCUGGACAUGGCCCGGUUCUGAUCUGUCUGGUUUGGGUCCAGGACAUGGCCUGGUUCUGAUCCGUCUGGUUUGGGUCCAGAACACAGCCCGGUUCUGAUCCGUCUGGUAUGGGUCAAGAACACAGCCCGGUUCUGAUCCGUCUGGUUUGGGUCCAGAACACGGCCCGGUCCAGGACACGGCCCGGUUCUGAUCCGUGUGGGUCCAGAACACGGCCCGGUUCAGGUGGAGCAGUGACUCCAGUUUAGGGAAACGAGCUGCAACAGAGAGUAAAGACUGGAUGAAUUCUACGGAAGACCUGAAAUGCCUAAAGGGAGCAUACUAAAAAAAAUGUUUCUUUUAAUUCAGCAGGAACCAACCAACAAAAUAUUCUUUUAAGUAUUUUUCCUUAAUGAACAAAAUACCCAUUUAGUAUUUUUUUCUCUUUUGAACACAAAAAUAAAAUAUUUUUUACUAACAUUGUUUUUCUCACUUAAGCAAAUAAAUUGAAUGAAAUGGAAAAGAACUGACACGUAAACAAACGUAAAAAAAUAAAUAAAAUUAGACUAAUUAAAACGAACCAUUUUUUUCAUGAGCUCUUCAGGAUUCAAGUGAGACAAAGAAAAAUGAAGAGAACUUUUUUCUUUUCCACUCUGUUGGUUGUUUGCUGUAAAAUAGUUUUUAUCACAAAUAUUUGAUAAAAAACACAAUUGUUCAAAGUUUUUAGGAGAAAAAAAAGUUUUAAUCUAGUUUUUUUUUUUCAGUUGCACGUGACUUAAAGUCAAGAGACAAAGAAAAUUUGGUCAGACUUUAAAAAAUGGGCCUUCAAAGAUAUUCUUUUAAUUCUUGUCCUUUCAGGGCUUCCGUAGACUUGUGUUCAGAUGAAGAAAUAGCUCAGGCCUGGUGAGGAACAGCAGAAACGAGGCGUAAAUGUCCCUUUAAAUGUGCUGCUGCUGUGCUGGAAGAAGCACCGAUUGGUCGGUAAUCUGCAGAUCCAUCUGGGAUCAGAUCAGAUUCCAGAUUAAAUCCGUCCCGCUGCGACUCGCUCGGUUAGCGGGAACUAAGUUGCUCUCUGUGGAAAACCGGGCGGGAAACGUUCAGUCGAGGAAAACCUCCGUAGAUCUGCUGCUGAUGAAUCACCGUUCUGCAUUUCAUAAAGCUUUCUGUCAUUUAAAAUUUGAACAGCUGGUUCAUGAAUAAAAUUUCACUCCUGCUUAAAAAUGAUCUGUUUCAUUUUAAUUUGGGAUUCAAGCCCAGAAAUGAAAAAAAAGUUUAUUUCUUUUUCCAUCUUAACGUUUAAAUGGAUCAGGAGGAACUGCGAUGACGGCAGAUUAAUCAGAUUAAUCAGAUUCUCUCGGAUCGUCAGGUCGUUUCUAGUUGAUGUUUCUCUAGGCUCCAGAUAUUCGUCCUGCUGAUAAGCGAUGAUCAUAGAGAUGUUUGUUUCUGCUUCACAUCCUUUAAUGUUUCUGUCUUAUUAACGCAGAGGAACUCAAAGAUCCGUUCAUUAGAAGAUGCUUCACUGCGCUCAUUAAAAAGCGUCGGUUCUGAUCCAGGAACGUGUUUUUCUCAGGUUUUCUCAGUUUCCUCGUUUUUACAAUAAUCUGAUCCUUUAUGCUGAUUGUUGACGUGCAGCUGGACGUCCACUUCUUGGAAGGUUGGCUUUCAUCCUGCGAAUGAUGUUUGUUUCAGUAUUAUUUAAAACAUUUUAACAAUUCUUAACUUAGAAAUGUAUUAUUUUAUUUCAUUUUAAUUUUAAAUCUCUCUUUAUAUAUACAGUAUAUAUACAUUUGUUUACAUUUAAAAUGUUAUUUAUCUUUAAUUUUUUUAUUUUAACUUAAAUGUUAGAAUGUUAAUUUACCUUCUGUAAUUCUCAUUUUAUUUUUUAUUUUAAAAAUGUUUUAUAUUUUUUUAUUAAUUUUUAAGAUUAUAUUUUAUUUUUAAUUGUUUCAUUUUUGUCAUUUAAAUGUAUUUUACCUUUAUAAACUUUUUUAAAUAGAUUAUAACUUUGAUUUUAUUUCUUAUUUUAAAAUUGUACACGUUUCUUUAUGUGUGGAAUAAUCUUCCUCUCUGGAGGAUGAUGACUUCAGACGUCUCGAUGACCUUUAACCUCUGCCAGGUUGUUUUUCUCGCUGCAGGUUUAGGUUCCAUUCUGGUAAAAUGAACAGAACCGGAUUCGGGUCCAGAUGGUUUGGAAGGUAAAACAUCAGAUUCCCAGCGAUGUGAGUUUAAUGAACUAAAGUUUGGCUCAUCAUGACGUUCAGUUAUAUCUUCAGCUGUUGCUGAAACAGAAACAAACGGCGGCCGGGUUCCAAACGCUGCGGCUCGUUAUGCGAAUGAGAUCAGAGCCUCGAUUGAAACGAUGAUGAAUCGUCAGAACCGCUCCGGUUCUGGUCCAAACCACUGAUCCAGAUAAGAAAUCUGCUGGUCUAACUAAGAGAACUGCAGAACUCCAGUAAGUCUGACGGUUCCAGUCGCUGCGUUUCCAUUCAACGUUUAGUUGCACGAUUUGACAUUUUGGGAACAAAAUGUCAACAACCAGAUAUUGACCAACAUCUGGUUGUUGCUACUGGAGGAAACCACGAAGAAGAAGAAGACAGGAAGUGGUUGGAGGAUGAUGGAGCUGAAUGUUUAUGAAUAACUGAUGUGAACAAACUUAUUCACAUGUGAUUUUAAUCACAUUUUUAGAAGAAAAACUAAUAUUGAAAAAUAGUUUUAUUAACUUUAGCAUAGAAAAUGUUUUCAUACACGUUUGUGUUUCUGAUCCAGAACUCCAUGAAUCCCAUUUUGGGUUUGGGAGUUGGAGGGCGUCUCGCUUCUGGACCCAUCCGGUGGUUCUGAUGGUUCUGUCUCUAGUGAACUGUUGUUCGCCUUGUAGCGCUGACAGCCUUUAAUCCAUAAAACAUCCCAUAAUAAUCCACCGGCUGUCACAGCUUUGACUCUGAGUGGAGAAAAUGUGUUUGUCUCCAGGUUGGAGAAGCUCACUGUGUGUGUGUGUGUCGGUGUGUGUGUGUGUGUGUGUGUCGGUGUGUGUGUGUGUAUGUGUGUGUGUCGGUGUGUAUUCAGCCCACGUAUUGUUUCAGAGUUGAUUCCUGACAGGUUUCCAGUCGUCUGAUGUUUCGUGCGAAGCGGCAGAGAACGGAGGAUCUUCAUCGUGUCAGACUUCCUGUUCAGGUUCACUCGGAGGCCGGGCCGCCAGGUUCCAGCGCCGGUUCUGGGGCCGGUUCUGGGUCGGGUCAGGAGGAGGUGAAGCAAUGCUGUAAAGUUUCUUCAUCACGGUGAAGAUGACUCUGAUUUUAAAUAAUCUGUUUUCAGUCUUUUGGUUGUGAAGGUCUGAGAGCAGAGAGGUUCCAUCCAGUCUCUCCUGCUGCGUUGAUAGAUUCUGUUGGGUCACAUUUUUCAGUUUUCUCUGAUCCUUUUUACGGUUUUUAACUUUCACAUCGUCAUGAACUUCCAGAUAACCAGGUUCAUGAAUCCAUCUUUUUUUUUUUUCACUGGGAUUUUGUUUUCUAAGUUCAAGGAGUGCGGAUGUUUGGUUGUUGGGUUUGUGAACUAAACCAUCCUCCAGCACCAGAACCGCUAAAGUUAAACUUUAUUUUACUUUUAAAUGUUCCCAUCAGCAGGGAAAUUCUUCUUUGUUUCAUAAAACUUUAGAAACCUCCACCAUAGUGAAGAUUUUCCAAAAGUCUUCGUCUGGUUGACGGUUCAGCUCCUUCUGUCGUCUCCAUGGAAACGACGGAUGCAGCAAAGCGCUACGCUGCUAACAACGCUAAAAUGACAACAACCUUUACUUCAGACGAGCCUCCGUGCCGCCCGGCCUCCAGUCUUCCUGCUCCCUCUUUCAUCUGGCUCUCCGUCCUCUCAUCCCUCCAUCUCUGCGCUGUGAGGCUCGCUCUGUGAAGGAGAAUCAUCGCAGCCUUUGAACGGGACUCUGCGGCGCUCCAGGUGCUGCAUGUUAUCUCCUUCCUGUUUGGGAGCGAGGAGAGCUGCGUAUAAUUCCCGCGCUCCGCCGAGAGGAAGGACAACAGAGGAAGGACCUGUGGGAGAAGCUGAGAUGAAACGGCGUCCUCGUCUUCACCUCCUCCUUCAGUACCAUUCAGGUUCUCCUUUCUGUCUCUGAUGCUCUGUUGCUGCUGGAAGGAGAUGAAACGCAGGCAUGAAAAAGUUUCACCUGUUUUUCUUCUUUCUACCAGGUGAAGCAUUAUUUUACUGAUUCUGUUCAUUUGAACAACUUCAGACUCGCAUCAGGUUUUAUCACUGGAAACAAUAAAACUGUGUUUAUCCUUAAACAGUUUUAUUCUCUGUUAGGAUCCGUGUUGGUGUGAACUUUGAGGUUCUGCUUUGUUCUCAUAAAUCUCGCCGCAUCCUUCAGUCCUUUGUGUUUUCAGUUUCCUAAAGAGGCGACGCAGUUUAGUAAAAUACACAAUAAAGAACCAAUUCAUCGCAGAAAAACA